UGAGAAAGCAUGGACGGAGUGGGCGAAGAAUAAGAUCACCAUGUUUACCAGCAUCAAAGGGUUAAACCUGAUCCGCCAUAUUGCUCCUGCUGAUGACAUGGAAAGCUUUAAUAACUCUCUCCAGAUUCUGCAGACAAGUGAGAGAUGGCAGAAAAAAACGCAUUCUUAUCAAUGGUUUCCAACAAAGUGGCUGCCAUCCCAGAAGGUGACUGCAUAAUGAAUUACUAGAUGUGGAAGACUAGACACACUUGGAGAGGGCUGCUCUGGAUGGAAAUCCCAUGUAAUUGUGCAUGGUCUGGUCAUAUCGGAGGCAGACAACAAUAGGGGUGACGCGCGUUACCAGAAAGAUACCUGGUGGUGAUGUUUCCUGAGAACAUCGAGCCUUAGGGAAAACGCUAAAGAAUGGAUAUUGUAUGAAAGGUUUCAGUUGGCUUCUUACAUUUGCGUUCUUGAAGAUUGAAUGGAUCAUGUCACCUCGUUCACAACAUCAUAUGCUUAUAUUCUGUAAUUUAUUUUUACCAUUGUUAUGCACAUUGAGCAUCUCUUUAACCCCUUAACGACAUGUGACGUAAAUUUGCGUCAACAUGACAGUAAGAAGAUAUGGAGCUGUUGCAGAUUAUGUGAUUAAUCAAGAGAAUAGUCAAAGCUUGCCGAUGAAGCCCACUUCCCAAGAAGCCGGUCAAGAAAAGGACACAAAAGCAUAUAUUGUCCUGAUAGAUUGAUUAACUUACCACAAAAGGGCUCUAACGGCAUGGCAAGAGUACUACAGACAAAAUGGUCGCUCGACGUGAGAAAAGUGCUGAUGGCUGCAGGACUAUAUCAUCGCCAUUCGUUGGAUCAUCCCAUGCUGAAGGAAGGGUUUGGAGUCCGAUUUAGAACAUUCAUUGGGAGUGACAAACUAUACUCAGGAGGUGGAAAACGUUUGGAGAUUCCUUUAUGCCAUGAACCCACACAAGGUCAGCCUGGAAUUUGUGAGGGACAUAGAAAAAGUCAGUGCCUUCUUCAACAAGCUACGUGACCAGAAGCUUGCUGACCAGACUAUUUUCAACUACCUGAAGAACAUACACAAAAUC